UCUGCCCGAGAGUGGGGAACAACUCCUCGAAAGAGGAGCUAAUACCGCAUACAACAGUCUCCUGGUGAAACGGGAAGACAAAAGCCUCGCAAGGGGCGCUCUUGGAGGAGCCUGCGGCUGAUUAGCUAGUUGGUGGGGUAAAAGCCUACCAAGGCGAUGAUCAGUAGCUGGUCUGAGAGGAUGGACAGCCACACUGGGACUGAGAUACGGCCCAG
rnacentral:rRNA from 1 species